GGAAUAGAGCUUCCUCUCAGAUAAAGCAGGAACCCUUCUGGACACCAUCAGCAAGGUCAGAACUGAAGCCUGAAGUCUGGGCCCUUCCUUUUCUUCCAUAGAACCUCCUCAGCCCUCUGUCCUCAUCAUGGGCAUCAUUGUUGGCCUGGUUCUCAUGGUCAAUGGAGCUGUGGUGACUGGAGCUGUGAUUUGGAGGAAGAAGUGGUCAGGUAGAAAAAGGACGGAGGGAUCUGAGUUUUCUUGUCUCACUGGGCAGGUUUCUGGCCCAGAUGGAAGUUUGCCUGCCUCGUUACUGGAAUCUACCCUCUACACACAUGUGGAAUCUGAGCUGAUACUAUGACUGACCCUUCUGUAAAGUACAUGUAAAAAUGAGAGACAAAUUUUUCAUCUUCAUAACUUCAUUUGGGGGCCUGUUUCUCAGCAUUUGAAGGUCAGGAGGGAAUGUCCCUCCUGAGGACAGACCUCCAGGAGGGCAGGUGGUCCAGUCCCCCCACGUCUCCUUCCUUCAUGUUCCUGAGCCUAUCCUGGAUUUUUGGUCACAGUUCUGAAAAGUUCUUUGUCGUUCAGACUAGGGAGUUCCUCUAGGAUCUCAUGACUCGGUCUUCUCCCUGGUCUCUCAUGUGGUACUGCUUUCUCUAGUUUCUUCUCUGUGGGUUCUGAGCACGUUCUGGUCUUGUUCUCCCCCAGGCUGUGACAGUGCCCUGGGCUCUGAUGUGUCUCUCACGGUUCCUAAAGUGUGAGACAGCUGCCUUGUGGGGACUGAGUGAUGCUCCGUCCCACUUUGUGACAUCAGAUCCCCAGACUCCUCUUUCUGCAGCUGCAUCUGAGUGUGUCUGUGCUCCUAUUAGCAUAAGAUGAAGAGGUGGGGAGACUGCCAACCUCUUCCAAUCCAAACUCCGGGAUUUAAAAUGCGGUGCCUA